CAAGGAAAAGAAAACUCUUAUCUUUAAUCUCCAAAAUUAAUAUUUUUAUAAACUAUUCCUUGU
rnacentral:tRNA from 1 species